GGCAGUAUGGUGUAAUGAUGCAUGCGGGAUUUUCUUGAUUAGACUGUUGAAACUAAAGUAAUUCCUGAGAUCCUUGUUCGAAUCAAGGUACUGUUC